AUGUAUGAAUAAAUAUUUUUUGUAUUUUUUUUUGGAUUC
rnacentral:sRNA from 1 species